rnacentral:rRNA from 1 species
AACGAACGCUGGCGGCAGGCCUAACACAUGCAAGUCGAACGCUCCAGCAAUGGAGAGUGGCAGACGGGUGAGUAACGCGUGGGAACCUUCCCUAUGGUUCGGAAUAGCUCAGGGAAACUUGAGGUAAUACCGGAUAAGCCCUUCGGGGAAAGGAUUAUCGCCAUUGGAUGGGCCCGCGUAGGAUUAGCUAGUUGGUGAGGUAACGGCUCACCAAGGCGACGAUCCUUAGCUGGUCUGAGAGGAUGAUCAGCCACACUGGGACUGAGACACGGCCCAGACUCCUACGGGAGGCAGCAGUGGGGAAUAUUGGACAAUGGGGGCGAACCCUGAUCCAGCAAUGCCGCGUGAGUGAUGAAGGCCUUC